GUAACCUCGAUGGACAGCUACAAAUGGACGAAUUUCUGGUAGGACAAUAAUUUAUUCCAGGAGUUUAUUCAUACAGGCCUAGGGCGGAGUACGGGCGUGAUACGGAUGCAGUCUAGGGCAUAAGCCUUUGGGUGAAGUUUGAGUAUAAAACAGAUUUUAAUAUACAUAGUUAUUGUGGCUAUAUUUCGCAACGUUUUAGUGUGUAUACAGUAC